UUUUUUGGGUGUUGAGUCUUGCAUGAGCACCUAGUUUCGAGGCCGUGGAGCUUUGUGAAUACAGGAUGAGGCUUUAAAGAGUUGAACAGAACCAGUUUUAACCAUGAGUACAUAUCAGAUGAACCAGAGUGAUGGCGGACCCAGAUCUAUGUCUGGAGGAGGCCAGAACUACAUGGACCUCUCAAACAUGCCUCUGGAAAACAAACAGGAACAGACGAUGAUGUGGCAACAGAACCAGUACAUGGGGGACUCUGGUAUCCACUCUGGGGCCACCACCCAGGCUCCCUCUAUCAGCAGCAAGGGGGGCCACCAUGAUGACAUCGAGGAACCCCAAUCCAACAUGGAAACCUCCCACAUGCAGAUGUUUGAUUGGCCUGACCAGCAGUACCCCCAGCAAGGCUACACACAGGAACAAAUUGAUGAUGUGAACCAGCAGCUGAACCAGACCCGCUCCCAGCGAGUGAGGGCGGCCAUGUUCCCCGAGACGCUGGACGAGGGGGUCCCCAUCCCCUCCACCCAGGUCCACCCAGACCAGCCCACUGCUGUACAGAGACUGGCUGAGCCCUCACAGAUGUUGAAGCAUGCAGUUGUUAACCUUAUCAACUAUCAGGAUGAUGCUGAUCUUGCCACGAGAGCUAUACCUGAGCUGACCAAGCUUUGAAUGAUGAAGAUCAGGUAGUGGUUGGACAAGCAGCCAUGAUGGUUCACCAGUUGUCCAAGAAGGAGGCCAGUCGACAUGCAAUAAUGAACUCCCCCCAGAUGGUUGCCGCCCUGGUCAAGGCCAUGAACAACACCUCUGACUUGGAGACCACUCGCUGUGCUGCAGGAACCCUACACAACCUCUCACAUCACCGACAGGGUCUGCUGGCCAUUUUCAAGUCUGGAGGAAUCCCUGCACUCGUCAAGCUGCUGAGCUCUCCUGUGGAAUCAGUUUUAUUCUACGCAAUCACAACUCUUCACAACUUGCUUCUUCAUCAAGAAGGUUCCAAGAUGGCCGUUCGAUUGGCAGGUGGUUUACAAAAAAUGGUGGCACUGCUGCAGAGAAACAAUGUCAAAUUUCUGGCUAUAACCACAGACUGUCUACAAAUUUUGGCCUAUGGAAACCAAGAAAGCAAGCUGAUUGUGUUGGCCAGCGGUGGACCAGGUGAACUGGUGAGGAUCAUGAGAUCAUACACAUACGAGAAGUUGUUGUGGACAACAUCCCGAGUUCUCAAAGUUCUCUCCGUCUGCUCCAGUAACAAGCCAGCUGUGGUAGAAGCAGGUGGUAUGCAGGCCCUGGCUAUGCACCUUGGACACCAGAGUCAGAGACUGGUACAGAACUGUCUAUGGACAAUAAGGAACUUGUCAGAUGCUGCAACUAAAUGUGACAACAUGGAAGGCAUCUUGCAAAUGCUUGUUCAGCUUCUCUCCUCCAACGAUCUCAAUGUGGUGACCUGUGCUGCUGGAAUCUUGUCCAACUUGACCUGUAACAACCAGCGCAACAAGGUCAUUGUCUGUCAGGUCAACGGCAUCGAGGCUUUGGUCAGAACCAUUUUACAGGCAGGAGACCGUGAGGACAUCACCGAACCAGCAGUCUGUGCAUUGAGACAUUUGACCAGCCGUCACCCAGAAGCUGAAAUGGCCCAGAAUGCUGUUCGUUUACACUACGGCCUUCCUGUUCUAGUCAAGUUACUUCACCCACCAAGCAGAUGGCCCCUCAUCAAGGCUGUAGUUGGUCUCAUCAGAAAUCUGGCCCUCUGUCCUGCAAACCAUGCUCCACUGAGGGAACAUGGUGCCCUGCCCAGGAUUGUCCAUCUCCUCAUCAGAGCCCACCAAGAUACACAGAGGAGAGCCUCUAUCAGCUCCAAUGGACAGGGAUCAGGGUAUGUUGAUGGUGUUCGCAUGGAGGAAAUAGUAGAGGGAACAGUUGGAGCCCUGCAUAUUCUGGCCAGAGAGGCUCACAACAGAGCUGUCAUUCGUGGUCUGAACGGCAUUCCUCUCUUUGUACAGCUGCUGUACUCUCCAGUGGAGAACAUCCAGCGUGUGGCUGCCGGAGUCCUCUGUGAGCUGGCCGCAGACAAAGAGGGAGCAGAGCUGAUUGAGCAGGAGGGAGCCACCGCCCCUCUCACAGAGUUGUUACACUCCAGGAACGAAGGCGUCGCAACCUAUGCAGCAGCUGUUCUUUUCCGCAUGUCUGAGGACAAACCCCAGGACUACAAAAAGAGGCUCUCUGUUGAGCUGACCAGUUCUCUCUUCCGUGACAACCAGAACAUGCCCUGGUCUGACGUCCAGCCCCCAGGAUUUGAGGAUGUGGGACACAUGAUGCCCCCAGCUGAUGAUUCCUACAGAGACCAAAUGUACCAGCCCCCUCAUCAUGACAGCCAAGGAAGCAUGCACAGCAAUGACAUGAACAGAGGUUAUGAGCACCAGAUUCCUAUCGACUCUAUGCAGGGUCUGGACAUUGGCAGUCAGGGAGGGAGUCAGUAUGGUGGGAUGGAAAACCUGCCCGACCUGGGACCAAACGCACAGUCAGGGGACCUUAAUUUCGAGAAUCUCGAGUCCAGUCUGCCCCAACAGUCUGGCAACAACCAGGGCAUGCCGUGGUUUGACACCGACUUGUAAAUGUGCCACAGUUUGUAGAAGCCAUGACUGAGGACCCUCGAUGUGGUCAAUACAAAGACAAAACUAUUGUGUAGAACAAAGUAGCCAGUUAUGUUUUCUGUACAUUGGAUAUUACCACAUGGAUCUGUAGAACAGAAUCUUGAUGAUGAACCUGCUAUUGACAUACUGUAACAAAUGAGGAAAUAAUUAUGAGGGGAAAAACCCAGUUUCUAUCAAAAAGUUCUUUUUCACAAACUUUUAAAACAUAUGUCAAUAUGAGAAGAAAUUAUUUCCUCCCCAAGGGGAAAUGAGUUUUUAAACAUGAAUUUUAAUGUUAAGGUUGUAGAUUGAGCAGCUGAAUAUUUUAAACAUUUUGGCACUUCCAAAUUCUCAUCUCUUCAACCACCUGGACCAGACUAUAUUCUUUUUGUAAAUAAUUCAUUCCAUUAGUUUAUAACGUUCAUCUUGUAUAUGCCCUAGAUUAGAAAUCUUAUUAUAAAACAACAAUUCAAAGCAGCAGGCAUGAAUAUGAACAAAGAAUUUAUAUUUCUGACACCACCCUCCAAAGCAAAGAUGCUUCAUACCUAAAAUGUCCUUCAGUUGGAAUGUUUCAGGGCAGUACUGUACCACUGUCCUGGUCAGAAAUAUAAAGGACCUAUAUUUUUGUAAGAAUGCCAUAUCAGUUUGUGUACUCUUUCAUUAAGUGCCUCUAAGGUAGUCAUUUUAAUUUGGGUCAUGUAUUUAUUGAAUUUUAUCAAUAUCAUCGAUGAAGACAUCUCUGGCAGAAAAAAAGUUGUCUAUCUUUUAAUUUGAAUGCAUUUGUCUUAGAAUUCUUUUUUGGUUUGUACUUUCUUUACCUUAUCUUUUUAUCCAUUUUUAGAUAAUUUUAUAAUUCAGGAAAUUAUUUAUAAUAGUUGACAUUAAGAUAUUACUAUGUGUUGUGUAAUGCAUGCAAUUCUAAAUAAAACUUCUGUUUUAAU
rnacentral:misc_RNA from 1 species